rnacentral:rRNA from 1 species
UACGGGGGGGGCAAGCGUUGUUCGGAAUUACUGGGCGUAAAGGGCUCGUAGGCUGCCAACUAAGUCAGACGUGAAAUCCCUCGGCUUAACCGGGGAACUGCGUCUGAUACUGGAUGGCUUGAGAUUGGGAGAGGGAUGCGGAAUUCCAGGUGUAGCGGUGAAAUGCGUAGAUAUCUGGAGGAAUACCGGUGGCGAAGGCGGCAUCCUGGACCGGCAUUGACGCUGAACAGCGAAAGCUAGGGGAGCAAACGGG